rnacentral:lncRNA from 1 species
AUGAGGGAACAACUGUUUGAGGAGGCAGCCGCUCUCAUCCUGAGGGAACCUGGCCUGCGUGAGGCCCUGCAACUCCCAGGCCUGCAGCCAGCAGCAACACCAGAUCCUGCGUCUCAGUCAGGUCAGCCCUGUCACGCUCAGGUUCCAGUGCAGCCCUGUCACGCUCAGGUUCCAGUGCAGCCCUGUCAAGCUCAGGGCCCAGCCCAGCCGUGCUCUGCUCAGUUUCCAGCCCAGCCAUGCUCUGCUCAGUUUCCAGCCCCAGUUAAGUCGUGCUCUGCUCAGGCUCCAGCCCCAGUUAAGUCGUGCUCCGCUCAGGCUCCAGCCCCAGUUAAGUCGUGCUCCGCUCAGGCUCCAGCCCCAGUUAAGUCGUGCUCCGCUCAGGCUCCAGCCCCUGCUCAGCCUUGUCACGUUCAGAGUCCAGUCCAGACCUGUCACGUUCAGAGUCCAGUCCAGCCAGGCUCGGUAGCUGUAAGCAGCCCCGCCGGCUCUAGUAAGGAGUCCGCGAGCAGCACUGCCGGCUCCGGUAAGGACGCCAUUCCAGUUCCCGUCGGCCCGAUAGAGGUCGUUCCAGUUCCCGUCGGCCCGGUAAAGGUCGUUCCAGUUCCCGUCGGCCCGGUAGAGGUCGUUCCAGUUCCUGUUCCUGUCGGCUCCCGCGAGGACGCCGUUCUAGCUCCUGUUCCUGUCGGCUCCCGCGAGGACGCCGUUCUAGCUCCUGUUCCUGUCGGCUCCCGCGAGGACGCCGUUCUAGCUCCUGUUCCUGUCGGCUCCCGCGAGGACGCCAUACUAGCUCCUGUUCCUGUCGGCUCCCACGAGAACGGCGUUCUAGCUCCUGUUCCUGUCGGCUCCCGCGAGGACGCCGUUCUAGCUCCUGUUCCUGUCGGCUCCCGCGAGGACGCCGUUCUAGCUCCUGUCCCUGUCGGCUCCCGCGAGGACGCCGUUCUAGCUCCUGUCCCUGUCGGCUCCCGCGAGGACGCCGUUCUAGCUCCUGUCCCUGUCGGCUCCCACGAGGACGUCGUUCUAGCUCCUGUCCCUGUCGGCUCCCGCGGGGACACUGUUCUAGUUCCUGUUCCUGUCGGCUCCCGCGGGGACACUGUUCUAGUUCCUGUUCCUGUCGGCUCCCGUUCUAGCUCCUGUUCCUGUCGGCUCCUGUGA